UUCAAACCAUGUAAAAAGAGUGGAUGAGCGAAAUUUGCUCGCAAAUCUCAGACCAAGUUUGUGAAUGGCUUGAUUGCCAUACGAUACAAAGCAAGAAAUAGGGGCAUGAUUUGAGACAGAUUGUUCAUAUUGAUAUUCAGCAUAAAUCUGGAUGGUGAAGAUUCACAUCAAUUCAGCCAAUGGUUUGACUACUUCUGCAAGGAGCACACAAACGACUUGUAGUUUUAUAUAUACAACUGGUUGGUGAGUUUACAGUCUAAUGAUUGUUUCUAAAUUUCAUGGUUUGCACUUGCACUUUUCAAGCAUUGUUGCUAAGUCUGUUGAAAAUAUCAAUUCGUUGUGUUGACUGACUGACAAGGAAAAUUACAGCAAAUAUGCAGGCAUAAUAUGAGGCUUUUACCUACACCAUUCAUUGACGACAAGGAAAUUACAAUCAGUAACGUUAAAGCAUUAACUAGUUAGUAAGUUAAUAUGAUACUAACCACUCGUUGUGACAUACUCCAUAUUGUAAUUUCAUUAUUAGAAAUGUUCAUUUUUUAGGUUCUCACUAAAGAUCAUCAUCGUAAAUAUUUACUCACCUUAGAAGAAAUUGUUUAGCUAUUUGCUCAUUAUCUUGAAUAUCUUUCAUCGUUGAUUGAAAAUAUUGUGUUUGUCUAUUUGUGUGAAUCACAGUCAGAUAAUUAAAUACUUUUCAACUUGAGUCAAUUUUAUCGGAAAUGAUGAUUCGAUGUGGAUGUAAACAUGAACAAAGAAUGAGUCCAAGGGAGUGAUUAGCGUCAUAUAAACUUACUAACUAAUUGAUGCUUGAGCACUAGAGCUCUACUUCGCACAAUAAAAGUAUUCAAAUGGAUUGAGCUUUGGGAGUAAAUCUAAUAGUUUGGCCCAAAAGUUGAGUCUGGCUGCAAUACUUUGGGGAGCAACAACAGUUCUCCAGGCUUGGCCGAUAUUUGCUAAAUGGAAAGCGAUCCAAGGAAAGGGGUAGUGACAACUCUAUCUUUCCCAUUUUUGUUCAACACCUAACAAUUUGAUUAGGACUUUCCCAUUUCGGCUUAGUAUACUGAUAAAAAUUCACAAAAUUAUAAAUAAAUUAAAUUUAAAAAAACCCAAUCCUGGUUGAGUUGACUGGAGGGCUAUUAGGUGUUGGUGUGUAUUGAUCAAAUUGUUUGGUGCAUUUACACUGCAUGCCUCAUGGCAAUGGCAUACAUAAGAUAAGACAAGGGUGUGGUCAAAGUUCAAAUAAUUUUGGGGUUCUUGGUGUCAUCGGGGCUUUGCUUAGUUUUGUGUACGAUUGACAAUGUCGACAACACAAAACAAAAUUCUAUAUAUAUAAACCAAACCAUGUAACCCAUCGGUUCAUAUAAAUCAUCAUUUCUCAUUUUGGAUGGGUUGAAAAGUAAUAAAAAUAUAUAUA
rnacentral:lncRNA from 1 species